UGCUUCUCUUGAGAGCGGCGGACGGGUGAGUAAUGCCUAGGAAUCUGCCUGGUAGUGGGGGAUAACGUUCGGAAACGGACGCUAAUACCGCAUACGUCCUACGGGAGAAAGCAGGGGACCUUCGGGCCUUGCGCUAUCAGAUGAGCCUAGGUCGGAUUAGCUAGUUGGUGGGGUAAUGGCUCACCAAGGCGACGAUCCGUAACUGGUCUGAGAGGAUGAUCAGUCACACUGGAACUGAGACACGGUCCAGACUCCUACGGGAGGCAGCAGUGGGGAAUAUUGGACAAUGGGCGAAAGCCUGAUCCAGCCAUGCCGCGUGUGUGAAGAAGGUCUUCGGAUUGUAAAGCACUUUAAGUUGGGAGGAAGGGUUGUAGAUUAAUACUAUGCAAUUUUGACGUUACCGACAGAAUAAGCACCGGCUAACUCUGUGCCAGCAGCCGCGGUAAUACAGAGGGUGCAAGCGUUAAUCGGAAUUACUGGGCGUAAAGCGCGCGUAGGUGGUUUGUUAAGUUGGAUGUGAAAUCCCCGGGCUCAACCUGGGAACUGCAUUCAAAACUGACUGACUAGAGUAUGGUAGAGGGUGGUGGAAUUUCCUGUGUAGCGGUGAAAUGCGUAGAUAUAGGAAGGAACACCAGUGGCGAAAGCGACCACCUGGACUAAUACUGACACUGAGGUGCGAAAGCGUGGGGAGCAAACAGGAUUAGAUACCC
rnacentral:rRNA from 1 species